UGGGGAAUAUUGCGCAAUGGUCGAAAGACUGACGCAGCGACGCCGCGUGGAGGAUGAAGCCCUUCGGGGUGUAAACUCCUGUUGCUCGGGACGAACCUCCCCUUUCGAGGGGACUGACGGUACCGAGUGAGGAAGCACCGGCUAACUCUGUGCCAGCAGCCGCGGUAAUACAGAGGGUGCGAGCGUUGUCCGGAAUCACUGGGCGUAAAGGGCGCGUAGGCGGCUUGGUAAGCGUGCGGUGAAAGCUCAGGGCUCAACCCUGAGUCUGCCGUGCGAACUGCCGAGCUGGAGCACGGUAGAGGCACAUGGAAUUCCGGGUGUAGCGGUGGAAUGCGUAGAGAUCCGGAAGAACACCGGUGGCGAAGGCGGUGUGCUGGGCCGUAGCUGACGCUGAGGCGCG
rnacentral:rRNA from 1 species